rnacentral:rRNA from 1 species
CCCUACGGGGGCAGCGGAGGGGACAGCCGCGCAGGAAUACGACCAAUGCCGCCUUUCCCAGCCAGUCCACCGUGGAUAGAGGGACUAUGCCCCCAAAGUUGACCAACAGCUCAUCACCCGCUUUUUUCUGGCAGAAUAAGACUCAUCUCUUUGCCGGCGAUCCUGGUCAGCCUCUCCACAAGCUCUGACUGCUUUGACCCCAUCCUCUCCUCCAGCAUCAAAAGGUCCUUGCGGCUCUGCUCCAGCGCAGCCUCGAGCUUUAUCAGGGCUUUCUUAUCCUGAGAGAUGGUGUCUUUCAGUUGAAGCGCCUCUUUGCUGCUCUCCUUCAACUGACCCUCCAGGGAUUUGAUCUCCUCUGCCAGGCUGAAUUGGCGGGAGGGC